rnacentral:pre_miRNA from 1 species
AGUGGGGUAGCUGGGUCAAACGGUGAUUCCAUUUCAAGUUUUCUAAGGAAUCUCCAUACUGCUUUUUCAGUUUGGUUGUACCAAUUUGCAGUCCCACCAGCAAU